UGACCAUCGGUGCACUCAGACUCUGGUUUGCUUCUGUUCACAGAGUGAAUGGGAAACAUCUAGAGGUAGGGACCUGCUCCAAACCAAUUUACUGCCUCAUUAACAGCUCGAUGUGCGAUACACAUCACGUAACAACUCACUGAGGUGAAAGCAACCUGAGAGACCCUGUACAUAUUUGAGCAAAAUCCUUCCUUGCCCCAACAAGUUUAUUUUGAAAUGUCCUGAAGGGCUGAGACAGCAGAGAGAGCUCAGCACUGAAAAAAUGUAAAGUGAAUGCAAGCUGAAAUUAUGCAAUUGGUCUCCCUUCAAGAAAAGAAAUUGCAAGGAAAAGAGAAGAUGCUGUUGGGCAUACAAAUUCACAAAGUGGAACUGCUGGAAACAGCCUUCAGGGGGUGCCCGUGGCUUACGACAGCUUCAAAGUGGUGGGCGAGGUCGGGGACGUUUACGACCACCAAGGGCUCAUCCACCUGAACAUCGAGGCGGACUUCAUCUUCAGCCUCUAGAAAGGGAAAAAAAACUGAUGGGUGUAAUUAAUAAAGUGGCCCCUAGUCAUAUUGGCUGCCUGAUCCAUGGGUGCUUUAAUGCUUCUAUCCCCAAGGCUGAACGAAUGUCUAUUGUAGAGUGGCAGGAGCUGGGGUUGAAAAUAGGGGAUGAACUGAAAUUUGAAGUAUUGCAUUUGGAUU